CAGUAGCCGCGGUAAUACGUAGGUGGCAAGCGUUGUCCGGAAUUAUUGGGCGUAAAGGGCUCGCAGGCGGUUUCUUAAGUCUGAUGUGAAAGCCCCCGGCUCAACCGGGGAGGAUCAUUGGAAACUGGGAAACUUGAGUGCAGAAGAGGAGAGUGGAAUUCCACGUGUAGCGGUGAAAUGCGUAGAGAUGUGGAGGAACACCAGUGGCGAAGGCGACUCCCUGGUCUGUAACUGACGCUGAGGUGCGAAAGCGUGGGGAGCAAACAGGAUUAGAUACCCCAGUAGUCCCUGUCUCUUAUAC
rnacentral:rRNA from 1 species